rnacentral:lncRNA from 1 species
AGUGGAAAAAAGAUUUUAUAAAGGUUUAUUAUAACAUGUGAAAUCUAUUUGUCAUAAUAAGUUGAUCGAUGACAUUUUCGUAAUAAAAUUAUGAAUUAUUAUGAUCUAGUUUAGGAGACUUCUCAUAAUAUGUCAACAUAAUGACAAAAUUGGAAUUAUAUUUUAAAUGUAUUAUGACAGGUGACAAACUCAAAAUUAUAUUCAAAAAGUAUUAUGAUUGAUGGUAAAACAAUUGUCAUGGCAGCUCUUAAUUCCUAAUUCCCUUCCCUUCGUUCACGCGUUCUCUAUAAAACUACUCUUCACUCUUCUAAAUCCUUAAUUUAUUU